CUUAAGAACCCCCAAAUUGAUAUAAUUUGAGAAAAAAAUUAUCGACUCCUCAAGAGCAUACAACACACAGAUACAUCAAAGUUAUUGGUUUUUGCACAUGAAACUAGUGAGUCAAACAAGAAUAUAUCAGGUCAUUAGAGCCCUGCUAAUGAAUUAGAAUUCAUUUGAAUACACUUGGCAACCUCCAAAAUAAACUAAAAGUCCAAACAUACGAUUACAAAAAACUACAUAACAUUUACUGAAAUUAUACCAAGCUCAAUUAAAACUGUAGACAAACUAAUUGAUAAACAUCGAGCCAUAACAAGACUAUCAGGAUCAAACUUUAAAAUGAGGCUGAAAUUUUGACAUGGGAGCACCAUCUUUCAUUCAACAUUCACAUUUCACUGCAAGGAUUCGAAAAUGUACUUGGAUACAAUCAAAAAUAGCUAUAGAACUUCAGAAGAAGGUGAGAUCAGCAGUAGUUAACAGCAGAACCUCAGUUUCAAUUCACAUUUGGAAUCCAAGAAAACAGCAAAAUAUUAGACCCUUUUUCAAUCCCAAAAAAAUCAGCCAACGUAUAGUGUUUCCAAGCAAAAAACAAACCUAGAAAUUUCAAAACAAACCAUUGUUCGAACUAUCUCAAUCCAGAAUGAGAAUUUAUGAUUUUUCAGAUGUUUCUUCAAGGAAUUUUAACUAAUGGAAGGAUUAGAAGUUUCCAAUCUACUCAGAAUUUUGAAAAAAACUCCAGUUGUUUCAGCUUUUUAGACUUUUUAUCCUUCUUUUUCUACCAUGAAUACCAAAAUAAGGUGCCUUUAUAGGCAAGGCAUUUAGGGCUGUAGAAUGCCACUAGUUUUGCACUUUGCACCUUUCAGUAUUUUCAUUUUAGCUUAGAAACCCUUAGUCAAUUUUUGUUUUUGCUCAAAUACACUUAGUUCAAAUAUCAAAAUUUCAGAAUAAUCCCCAUCCCACCUUCCAGGAAACUUUCCCAGUUAGUUUACAAGAUUAUUUCACCUAAAUCCCCUAAACUAUCCCUUAAACUACAUGUUUUUACCUUUAACCUACCAAAAGAGUCAAGUUAACCCAAGUUCUUUGGGUUGCUGUGUUGGCAAGUUCUAUGGCCUUUGGGCUUCUGAACCCUUGAAGCUCGACUUGUGAUCAAAAACCACAGGCCACAAAUAAGUGAGCCCAGCAAUUCUGCCAAUUUUGGCAUCAAAAGAAAAAUGAAUAGAGCAGGACAAAAGACGAAAUGCAAAUGAUAAACAGGCAAGCAAAAAAAUAAAAAAAAAUCAAAAAAUACUAACGAAGAAAAUAUUAAUUACACUAAUAUGUUGAUAAUUACUAAUAUGACUUAAAUUUAAAAUAUGCAACAUAUAUCAACUCGAACUAGCAAAAGAAGAAGAACGACAUGUGAAGAAAAUGACAGAUGUAACUUGAAAUGCAUGCAAAGAAUGACAGAAAAGAUAAUAGAUAAAAGAGGAAGAAGACAGAAGAAGAUGAACACGGAAAAACAACACAAAAAUGAUGGGAAUCAAAAAAAUACCUAGAAUAGUAGACAACAAGAAGACGGCUUGAACGGACUUCCAUUCUGAUUUCGAGCCAAAGUUGGUGUUUCUCAAAAGGUUCUUGCCAAAAACCAAUGAGAAACAUCAAUUUAGGCCUUAAACGGUCUUUGAAGCUUGAAGAAAUCGAGAGAUUUUUGGUUGUCAUUUUUUUCUACCUCUUUAGAUCUAAAAUUGGCUUAACUUUGUGAUGAUUUGAGGAUUAUUGAUGGUGGAUUUGAAAAUGGGAAGCCAUGGGGUUAUUGUGGUUGAGGUUUGGGACUGAUUGAAGGAGGUUCCGCUGGUGAAAAUGGCGAAUAUCCUCGAGGCGGCGCUAGGGUUAUCUAUGACAGAGAUGAUAGAGAUGGACGGAGGGGGGUUUUGUCUGGACUAAGCUGUUUCUGCAGAUCUUAGGACGGUUUUAAUUGAAAUGAUGAAAGUGUUUUCCACAGUUGGAUGAAUUGAGAUGAAGGGCUCGUAUUAUUUUAAGACUGGGGAACUCUAAAU
rnacentral:lncRNA from 1 species